CAUUCAUCCACGACGUGAGACGUUUCGUGGACCAAAAUGAACCAAUAGCCGCUGUCACCGCAUGACACUGAACACAGGGUCUCAUCCCAUCCUCUCUCAUCAUCAUCAUCAAUCUCAAGCGUUCCUCAACUGAAGGGAAAAUGCCGCGCUGUCUCGUAUGUCAGUACGACCCCAUCGAUGCCAUGCUCGUGGCCGUAGAAAGAGAGCACGAAGCUAGAAUAGAGAAUCUCGGUAAUAGCCCAGUCGUCCUUUCAGAUGACGACGACGACAGAGACAGUAGUCCGCCUUUCGUAAUACCUGAAACGGACGACGACGAACCCCUAGAUGGACAUGACAAUGCAGACGAAUUGCUCAUGUGGGAAGGGGAUCAGUCGUAUGCAGAUUUCAUUCCUCUGUCUGGUAGGGUUCGAGAUGAAUCACCAGAUGCAAGCCCAGAAUUUCGAAACGAAGCUGAGCCUGUCCAGGGUCGUAGAAUCGUUGAAUUGAGAGAACACGUCGUAGAGAAUCAUCCCUCCGUCACGGAGAGACGAUUCCUUCCUUUCUUUGUCACAGAUGAGGCAUUUGACGGAACGGCUACUAGGUACACGC